rnacentral:lncRNA from 1 species
GGCUGCGCGGCGCUCUGUGCCCUUCCUGGUGGUGGGGGGAGGGGAGAGGCAGUGUCGGAGCUGUUCUCCCAAGGGUGAGCAUCCAUCAGAGCAGAUUUUCUCAAAUGCUUUCUGCCCUGCUGUGUUUGCACUGAUUUGACCUGGCUUUGGAGGGAAAUUGAGAUGGACGUGCAGUGGAGCAUAAGGGGAAUGUCCCUAGGCUAGUGUGUCCGGGCCUGUCUCCUGUGCCUUGCCACAACAAAGAAGGAUGCCUCUUUUGAAUGCAAAGAAGUGUCUUGGCUUUGUCCAUCAUCAUGAAACUUGCUGAAGAACAGACUUCUGCGAUUCAUUUUAGAGAUGUAACAUUACAAUGCCACAAUCAAAAAAACCUGCAACUCUUGAAAGAGAGCAUGUAAGGGACCUGGUGUACUACAUGCAAAAAGGUGCAUUUCUUAGCUUUCAUUGAAAACCCACUAUUCUGAAGCUAAUAUAAACCUGAGUGGCCAAGCUCAGCUGAAAUGAGGUAAGUGCUUUGCAAAUUAACUUAAUCUUUAUCUAAAAAAAGGCUAAAUUCAUGAAGGAUCAAAGGUCAUCAUCAGCUCAUGGAAUUCACAUUUUAAAUCAAGGACAUAAUUUUC